rnacentral:rRNA from 1 species
UACAGAGAUCUCGAGCGUUAAUCGAGACUGGCUUGAACUGAGCGUAGGCGGAUCUGUAGGCAUCUUGUGAAAUACCUCGGCUCAACCGAGGAACUGCUUGGUGAACCACAGAUCUGGAGGCAAGUAGGGGCUGUCGGAACGAUAGGUGGAGCGGUGAAAAUGCGUUGAUAUCUAUCGGAACGCCCGAAGGUGAAAAACAGGCAGCUGGGGCUUGUCCUGACGUGAGGUACGAAAGCGUGGGGGAGCAAACGGG